rnacentral:rRNA from 1 species
UACGUAGGGUGCAAGCGUUGUCCGGAAUUAUUGGGCGUAAAGAGCUCGUAGGCGGUUUGUUGCGUCGGCUGUGAAAUCCCCAGGCUUAACCUGGGAACUGCAUCCGAUACUGGAUGGCUUGAAUCCGGGAGAGGGAUGCAGAAUUCCAGGUGUAGCGGUGAAAUGCGUAGAUAUCUGGAGGAAUACCGGUGGCGAAGGCGGCAUCCUGGACCGGCAUUGACGCUGAUGAGCGAAAGCUAGGGGAGCAAACGGG